CCCCUUCCCUUGCGAUCACAAAAACACUAUAUCCCUCUUGCCGGCUUUCGGGCCGGCUAUGGCGAUAAACGGGCGAUGGAAUAAACCUAUUGGACCCGGGGGCGGUACCCGGCGCCUCCACCAAAAACAGGCCUACCUCUUUCGAGGGAAAUGGCCUGCUUUUGAUGGGGGCGAAAUAGGAUCGACAAGGGUGUAAAGAUCGACUUUUCGCUCGGCAUGAUACCGCCGUUAUCGGGUCACAAGUGUAGUUGCAAACGACAACAACGCUAAGGAAUACGCUCUCGCUGCCUAAUGGCGGUGCGGGAAUUCCGCUCUAAGUCCUUACGGCUAGCCCCGUAAGGCGGGGUCCGAAGGCACCUGGCAACAGAAGCCUUCACC
rnacentral:tmRNA from 1 species